rnacentral:misc_RNA from 1 species
AAGUCGUAACAAGGUCUCCGUUGGUGAACCAGCGGAGGGAUCAUUACGAGAGUGUCACCACUCCCAACCCAUUGUUUACCUACCCGUCCACCGUGCUUCGGCAGGCAGCCCUGUGGGACAGAGCCUCGCCCCCUUCGCGGGGGGUGCCUGCCGCUGGCCAACCAACAAACUCUAGCUGUUUUAGUACCAUCUGAGUCUUCCACAAAUGAACAAAACUUUCAACAACGGAUCUCUUGGUUCUG